UUGUCAUUAUAUCAAAAAGGAGGUAAUCACACACAAUCAAUGGCACAAAUGGCACAACCAAUCAUCAAAUGGCACAGAAAUGAAGAUAAGAUGUCUACUCAUUGUAUUGAUAUGAAUGUGAAUAAAUUUGAGUAUACAAUAAGUAAAGCAAAACAAUACAAAACAAAAUAAAAAGAACAUCUAUGGUCUCCUCGAGGAUGAAGAGCCCCCCC
rnacentral:lncRNA from 1 species